AUCAAAAAUAAAAACUUUCCCCAUUCCCAUCUUUUUCUCUUAGAAGUGAACAGAAAGCUCAAUUUCUCCACAUCUAUAGUGAGCGGGAGCGAUGGUUAGAGAAAAAUCAGGAAGUGUUGGAGGAUAUUUCCGCAGCAUCUUCUCUCCCAUGUUCUAUUUGAAUAAAAUCAGCUAAGCACAAAUCCAAUCAGUUGCGUCUAUCAAAGUGGCAGGUGCUAAAAGAAGAAAUACAAUCUUUCGUCAUUACUGCUCAACACUUAUCAGACAGAGAACUAAUGGAGUGACUAACUCAGAUUAUUAGAGAACUGAUUUUUUGGAGAAAUAUUCGUAAAACAAACCAUGAUUAUUGUGAUACUGUUAGCUCCAGGUUGACAUGAAUCCCUCAAAAACUCUGAAGUAUGAAAUGGGACAAGCUUUAAAAUUUCCCAAGCAUGGACUCAUUCAGCCUGGUGCCUUAGCAAAGGAAUUAGGUCAUAGUUUUAAAUUAAUGAGUACUACAAGAGUUAAUGCUGAACAAAGGACUUCGAUUGCCAAAAAUAGAAGUUACGAUGUCACAACUUCUAAGUCGAUUAAUCUAGAAGACAAUAGUUUCCAUGUACAUCCUAAUUUUGAAGAAAAGGAAGACAAUGCUCGUCAAGGAGUUGAAAUUAAUCAACAUAAUUUGACCAGUGAUGCAAGGGCUCGAGGACAAAGCUUAGGGAUUAAUGUUUAAAAACCAACUCUGAUUGGCAAAAAUAGAAGCACUACAACAACUUCUAGUCGAAACAAGGCAGGAAAGACUAGUAUCCCCGUGCCUCCUAAUUUUUUUAUUCAAUGGAAGACAAUGACACCCUCUUUCAAGAAGCAGAAGUUACUCGCGAUGCUCAAAGAAGUGAUAAUUUGCAAAAGAGUUAGUCCGAUUAAUAUAUUUGAUCAAAAGAUUUUGCUUAAUUUUAUGUACUUAAUCUCCUUUGUAUUCUUUCUGUUAUUAAUAAUGGGCAUGAACUUCUUAUUUUAGUUGACUUCCAUCAAAAUUUGCAUGUGCAUUUGAAUUUGAUAAGUCAAAAAGAGUGAUUGGAGUGACUCGAUCUGCUCAAAAAAGUGUACUGGUCCCUUUAAAUCUAGAAAAGCAAAAAUAGUUUUUUAAGUGGCUCAAGGUGCUAAGGAAACUGAAACUAGACUUUUUGAAUUUGACAAGGCUAAAAAAGUGAUUGAAGUCUCUCGGCCUGAUUAAAGAAGUUUGUUUGAAUCUAGAAAAGCAAAAAAAGUGGUUGAAGUGGUACAAGAUGUUGAGGGAAUUGAAACUAAUUUUGCAGGUCCAUGUGAAACAGAAAGGGAAAAGAACGUGAGGGGAACAAAUAUUUGUAACAUGUUUUGCAACCGAGACCUGGAGAAAAAUUAAACGUCACUUUCUAUCAAAAUCGAGUCGUCGGGCAGAAUCAUACCUCAUUUACAAGACACUUGGGUCUGCUAGUUCGUGAUCGUAAUAUGUGUCCAUUGAGGGUACAUUCAUGGAUGGACAUCGAAGAGCAUAAGCUUGAGCACAUGUGGGCAGUUGUUACUGAGAAGUUUGACAGUGAUGACAUGAAUUAAUGCUUUGCAACAUAUGAGAAAACUUUGGAAUAACUGGAGAGGAUCACUGCACAAGAAUUUGAAAUCUAAAUCAUUGUGCAAUGUUCUUAAAGAAGUGCCGAAGGGAGUAGAUAAGAGUGAUUGGGAAUGGUUGGUCAAGGAACAUUUUUUAUUCGAUAAAUUUAAGACGCAGUUAACUAGGAUCAAAAUUCCAGCACACCGUUGAUCCAGUGAGCUGUUCACAGUCAGUCCGUGAGUCUCCUUGCAUUUCGGAGGAUCGACUUUCAUUCCUUUCUAGCUAGUUCAUUAGGAUGUUGUGGGGUUUGUCCCAACAUCCAUCUCAGUUGUUCGAGAAGCUUCGUAGACAAUCAUAUGUUAGUCCUUUGAGUCUUUUCAUUAUCAUUUCUUAUUGUUAAGACUUGGGUUGCCACUUUUGGCUAAAUUGAAUGUUUAACAUUUAAGCAUUCUCAGUUAUUUAAGUAUUCAAUUUAGUUA